rnacentral:rRNA from 2 species
AGGGGCGACCAUACCAACACUAAUGCACCGGAUCCCAUUAGAACUCCGCAAAUAAGCAUCUUUGGGCGAAAGUAGUACUAGGAUGGGUGACGUCCUGGGAAGUCCUCGUGUUGCACCUC